CGGGUGCGGAACACGUGUGCAACCUGCCUUUAUCUGGGGGAUAGCCUUUCGAAAGGAAGAUUAAUACCCCAUAAUAUACUGGAUGGCAUCAUUCGGUAUUGAAAACUCCGGUGGAUAGAGAUGGGCACGCGCAAGAUUAGAUAGUUGGUGAGGUAACGGCUCACCAAGUCUACGAUCUUUAGGGGGCCUGAGAGGGUGAUCCCCCACACUGGUACUGAGACACGGACCAGACUCCUACGGGAGGCAGCAGUGAGGAAUAUUGGACAAUGGGUGAGAGCCUGAUCCAGCCAUCCCGCGUGAAGGACGACGGCCCUAUGGGUUGUAAACUUCUUUUGUAUAGGGAUAAACCUACCCUCGUGAGGGUAGCUGAAGGUACUAUACGAAUAAGCACCGGCUAACUCCGUGCCAGCAGCCGCGGUAAUACGGAGGGUGCAAGCGUUAUCCGGAUUUAUUGGGUUUAAAGGGUCCGUAGGCGGAUCUGUAAGUCAGUGGUGAAAUCUCACAGCUUAACUGUGAAACUGCCAUUGAUACUGCAGGUCUUGAGUGUUGUUGAAGUAGCUGGAAUAAGUAGUGUAGCGGUGAAAUGCAUAGAUAUUACUUAGAACACCAAUUGCGAAGGCAGGUUACUAAGCAACAACUGACGCUGAUGGACGAAAGCGUGGGGAGCGAACAGGAUUAGAUACCCUGGUAGUCCACGCCGUAAACGAUGCUAACUCGUUUUUGGAAUGUAAGUUUCAGAGACUAAGCGAAAGUGAUAAGUUAGCCACCUGGGGAGUACGAACGCAAGUUUUGAAACUCAAAGGAAUUGACGGGGGCCCGCACAAGCGGUGGAUUAUGUGGUUUAAUUCGAUGAUACGCGAGGAACCUUACCAAGGCUUAAAUGGGAAAUGACAGGUUUAGAAAUAGACUUUUCUUCGGACAUUUUUCAAGGUGCUGCAUGGUUGUCGUCAGCUCGUGCCGUGAGGUGUUAGGUUAAGUCCUGCAACGAGCGCAACCCCUGUCACUAGUUGCCAUCAUUAAGUUGGGGACUCUAGUGAGACUGCCUACGCAAGUAGAGAGGAAGGUGGGGAUGACGUCAAAUCAUCACGGCCCUUACGCCUUGGGCCACACACGUAAUACAAUGGCCGGUACAGAGGGCAGCUACACUGCGAAGUGAUGCAAAUCUCGAAAGCCGGUCUCAGUUCGGAUUGGAGUCUGCAACUCGACUCUAUGAAGCUGGAAUCGCUAGUAAUCGCGCAUCAGCCAUGGCGCGGUGAAUACGUUCCCGGGCCUUGUACACACCGCCCGUCAAGCC
rnacentral:rRNA from 1 species